rnacentral:lncRNA from 1 species
UUAAAAAGAACAAAAUGAUACCAUUAAUUAAUCUGCAGUCUGCCCUUUCUCAGGGGCGGAUGUAGUGCAUUAUCGACGGGUUCAAUUGAACCCAUAACUUUCGACGCGGAGUAAAAAUUUAUAUGUAAAAAUUUAUUAAAAUUGCAAAAAUAGUAAAUAUGAACCCAUAACUUUAAAUAUAUAAUGGAUUCAACGCUAAAAAUUUCAAAAGUUGAACCCCUAAGAUUUAAAUCCUGGAUCCGCCUCUACCUUUCUUAAGUAGUCCACAUACACAUAAUACAUAGUACAAGUAAUGGCAAAUCCAAUAUAUUUCAAAAAGGGCAAAUCUAUAUGCCACUCAUUGCCUUAAUAGUCUGCAUAUCCGAAAAUUAUGGUAAUCUCAACAAAACUCCCCGUUUGAGUUUCACUAGUUGAAUGGUAGCCUGAUUGAAAAGCAUAUUUGGAAAUCCAAAAAUAAUAAGGGAAAGAGUUAAAAUACAACAUGUUAAUAUAUAUAUAUAAGGUAAAUCCUGAAUAAAUAAAUAGAUAAAUAAGAGAGAAGCUUACCCUAACUUCAAAGAUGUAUCUGAGCAAUCAUCCUCAACAGGAGUACCAUUGUUACAACUGCAUGCAGACAUUGGUGGAGAACAAGUAAUCAAAAUGCAGCUUAUUGUCACAUGAAUUUCAUUUAAAUUAUAUACACAAACAAUGUAAAAAAAAAAUCUUACACUACUAUCUGAUGACCUAGAAGUUAACUAUACGUAAUUACCAUAUUAAGUGGAACAAAUAAUUCGAUAAAUAAGGCAGAUAACAAGUUAAACUUUCACCGUACUUAAUUUAUGUCGUUAGUGUAAAAGACAACUCAGUGUACGAAGUAUUUUGUGAAACCGCACUCUAAGUGGGAGUGAUGUAGACAACCUAUCUCUCAUUUCAUGGCUCGAAUCAAUAUCCUACGGGUCACAGGGAGACAACCUUAUACUCUAAGGUUCCCCUUCUUAUGCCGCCAUUAGGAUAUAUAAGCUAAAUCCUUGCUCCAAGUGCAGCCUUGGCGUAACAGAUAAAGUUGUUGCCAUGUGACCAGGAGGUCACGGGUUCGAGCCGUGGAAAAGCCUCUUGCGGUGAAAUGCAGGGUAAAGCUGCGAUACAAUAGACCUUUGUAGUCCGAUCCUUCUCCCGGACCCUGCUAUAAAGAGUAUAUAUAAGCAAAGCUUNN